CAAGUCGAGCGAACAGAUAAGGAGCUUGCUCCUUUGACGUUAGCGGCGGACGGGUGAGUAACACGUGGGUAACCUACCUAUAAGACUGGGAUAACUUCGGGAAACCGGAGCUAAUACCGGAUAACAUUUGGAACCGCAUGGUUCUAAAGUGAAAGAUGGUUUUGCUAUCACUUAUAGAUGGACCCGCGCCGUAUUAGCUAGUUGGUAAGGUAACGGCUUACCAAGGCGACGAUACGUAGCCGACCUGAGAGGGUGAUCGGCCACACUGGAACUGAGACACGGUCCAGACUCCUACGGGAGGCAGCAGUAGGGAAUCUUCCGCAAUGGGCGAAAGCCUGACGGAGCAACGCCGCGUGAGUGAUGAAGGGUUUCGGCUCGUAAAACUCUGUUAUUAGGGAAGAACAAACGUGUAAGUAACUGUGCACGUCUUGACGGUACCUAAUCAGAAAGCCACGGCUAACUACGUGCCAGCAGCCGCGGUAAUACGUAGGUGGCAAGCGUUAUCCGGAAUUAUUGGGCGUAAAGCGCGCGUAGGCGGUUUCUUAAGUCUGAUGUGAAAGCCCACGGCUCAACCGUGGAGGGUCAUUGGAAACUGGGAAACUUGAGUGCAGAAGAGGAAAGUGGAAUUCCAUGUGUAGCGGUGAAAUGCGCAGAGAUAUGGAGGAACACCAGUGGCGAAGGCGACUUUCUGGUCUGUAACUGACGCUGAUGUGCGAAAGCGUGGGGAUCAAACAGGAUUAGAUACCCUGGUAGUCCACGCCGUAAACGAUGAGUGCUAAGUGUUAGGGGGUUUCCGCCCCUUAGUGCUGCAGCUAACGCAUUAAGCACUCCGCCUGGGGAGUACGACCGCAAGGUUGAAACUCAAAGGAAUUGACGGGGACCCGCACAAGCGGUGGAGCAUGUGGUUUAAUUCGAAGCAACGCGAAGAACCUUACCAAAUCUUGACAUCCUUUGAAAACUCUAGAGAUAGAGCCUUCCCCUUCGGGGGACAAAGUGACAGGUGGUGCAUGGUUGUCGUCAGCUCGUGUCGUGAGAUGUUGGGUUAAGUCCCGCAACGAGCGCAACCCUUAAGCUUAGUUGCCAUCAUUAAGUUGGGCACUCUAGGUUGACUGCCGGUGACAAACCGGAGGAAGGUGGGGAUGACGUCAAAUCAUCAUGCCCCUUAUGAUUUGGGCUACACACGUGCUACAAUGGACAAUACAAAGGGCAGCUAAACCGCGAGGUCAUGCAAAUCCCAUAAAGUUGUUCUCAGUUCGGAUUGUAGUCUGCAACUCGACUACAUGAAGCUGGAAUCGCUAGUAAUCGUAGAUCAGCAUGCUACGGUGAAUACGUUCCCGGGUCUUGUACACACCGCCCGUCACACCACGAGAGUUUGUAACACCCGAAGCCGGUGGAGUAACCAUUUAUGGAGCUAGCC
rnacentral:rRNA from 1 species